AUCCUUCUGGUUCAGAAUAAUGAUGAAUGGUUUAUUCACAUUUAUUGUGAGAUGCGCAGCCCUUCUUGUUACGCUUUGCGCAAAGAACCAUCUGAAU